GGGUUGUGAGGUUAAGCGACUAAGCGUACACGGUGGAUGCCCUGGCAGUCAGAGGCGAUGAAGGGCGUGCUAAUCUGCGAUAAGCGCCGGUAAGGUGAUAUGAACCGUUAUAACCGGCGAUACCCGAAUGGGGAAACCCAGUGUGACUCGUCACACUAUCAUUAACUGAAUCCAUAGGUUAAUGAGGCGAACCGGGGGAACUGAAACAUCUAAGUACCCCGAGGAAAAGAAAUCAACCGAGAUUCCCCCAGUAGCGGCGAGCGAACGGGGAGGAGCCCAGAGCCUGAAUCAGCAUGUGUGUUAGUGGAAGCGUCUGGAAAGGCGCGCGAUACAGGGUGACAGCCCCGUACACAAAAGCGCAUGUGCUGUGAGCUCGAUGAGUAGGGCGGGACACGUGGUAUCCUGUCUGAAUAUGGGGGGACCAUCCUCCAAGGCUAAAUACUCCUGACUGACCGAUAGUGAACCAGUACCGUGAGGGAAAGGCGAAAAGAACCCCGGCGAGGGGAGUGAAAAAGAACCUGAAACCGUGUACGUACAAGCAGUGGGAGCACAGGUUUACCUGUGUGACUGCGUACCUUUUGUAUAAUGGGUCAGCGACUUAUAUUCUGUAGCAAGGUUAACCGUAUAGGGGAGCCGUAGGGAAACCGAGUCUUAACCGGGCGUUAAGUUGCAGGGUAUAGACCCGAAACCCGGUGAUCUAGCCAUGGGCAGGUUGAAGGUUGGGUAACACUAACUGGAGGACCGAACCGACUAAUGUUGAAAAAUUAGCGGAUGACCUGUGGCUGGGGGUGAAAGGCCAAUCAAACCGGGAGAUAGCUGGUUCUCCCCGAAAGCUAUUUAGGUAGCGCCUCGUGAAUUCAUCUCCGGGGGUAGAGCACUGUUUCGGCUAGGGGGCCAUCCCGGCUUACCAACCCGAUGCAAACUGCGAAUACCGGAGAAUGUUAUCACGGGAGACACACGGCGGGUGCUAACGUCCGUCGUGAAGAGGGAAACAACCCAGACCGCCAGCUAAGGUCCCAAAGUCAUGGUUAAGUGGGAAACGAUGUGGGAAGGCCCAGACAGCCAGGAUGUUGGCUUAGAAGCAGCCAUCAUUUAAAGAAAGCGUAAUAGCUCACUGGUCGAGUCGGCCUGCGCGGAAGAUGUAACGGGGCUAAACCAUGCACCGAAGCUGCGGCAGCGACGCUGAUGCGUUGUUGGGUAGGGGAGCGUUCUGUAAGCCUGUGAAGGUGGCCUGUGAGGGUUGCUGGAGGUAUCAGAAGUGCGAAUGCUGACAUAAGUAACGAUAAAGCGGGUGAAAAGCCCGCUCGCCGGAAGACCAGGGUUCCUGUCCAACGUUAAUCGGGGCAGGGUGAGUCGACCCCUAAGGCGAGGCCGAAAGGCGUAGUCGAUGGGAAACGGGUUAAUAUUCCCGUACUUGGUGUUACUGCGAAGGGGGGACGGAGAAGGCUAUGUUGGCCGGGCGACGGUUGUCCCGGUUUAAGCGUGUAGGUGUGUGUUCCAGGUAAAUCCGGUUCACUUUAACACUGAGGCGUGAUGACGAGGCACUACGGUGCUGAAGCAACAAAUGCCCUGCUUCCAGGAAAAGCCUCUAAGCAUCAGGUAACAUCAAAUCGUACCCCAAACCGACACAGGUGGUCAGGUAGAGAAUACCAAGGCGCUUGAGAGAACUCGGGUGAAGGAACUAGGCAAAAUGGUGCCGUAACUUCGGGAGAAGGCACGCUGACACGUAGGUGAAGUGAUUUACUCAUGGAGCUGAAGUCAGUCGAAGAUACCAGCUGGCUGCAACUGUUUAUUAAAAACACAGCACUGUGCAAACACGAAAGUGGACGUAUACGGUGUGACGCCUGCCCGGUGCCGGAAGGUUAAUUGAUGGGGUCAGCGCAAGCGAAGCUCCUGAUCGAAGCCCCGGUAAACGGCGGCGUAACUAUAACGGUCCUAAGGUAGCGAAAUUCCUUGUCGGGUAAGUUCCGACCUGCACGAAGUGGCGUAAUGAUGGCCAGGCUGUCUCCACCCGAGACUCAGUGAAAUUGAACUCGCUGUGAAGAUGCAGUGUACCCGCGGCAAGACGGAAAGACCCCGUGAACCUUUACUAUAGCUUGACACUGAACAUUGAGCCUUGAUGUGUAGGAUAGGUGGGAGGCUUUGAAGCGUGGACGCCAGUCUGCAUGGAGCCGGCCUUGAAAUACCACCCUUUAAUGUUUGAUGUUCUAACGUGGACCCGUGAUCCGGGUUGCGGACAGUGUCUGGUGGGUAGUUCGACUGGGGCGGUCUCCUCCUAAAGAGUAACGGAGGAGCACGAAGGUUGGCUAAUCCUGGUCGGACAUCAGGAGGUUAGUGCAAUGGCAUAAGCCAGCUUGACUGCGAGCGUGACGGCGCGAGCAGGUGCGAAAGCAGGUCAUAGUGAUCCGGUGGUUCUGAAUGGAAGGGCCAUCGCUCAACGGAUAAAAGGUACUCCGGGGAUAACAGGCUGAUACCGCCCAAGAGUUCAUAUCGACGGCGGUGUUUGGCACCUCGAUGUCGGCUCAUCACAUCCUGGGGCUGAAGUAGGUCCCAAGGGUAUGGCUGUUCGCCAUUUAAAGUGGUACGCGAGCUGGGUUUAGAACGUCGUGAGACAGUUCGGUCCCUAUCUGCCGUGGGCGCUGGAGAACUGAGGGGGGCUGCUCCUAGUACGAGAGGACCGGAGUGGACGCAUCACUGGUGUUCGGGUUGUCAUGCCAAUGGCACUGCCCGGUAGCUAAAUGCGGAAGAGAUAAGUGCUGAAAGCAUCUAAGCACGAAACUUGCCCCGAGAUGAGUUCUCCCUGAGACUUAGAGUCUCCUGAAGGAACGUUGAAGACGACGACGUUGAUAGGCCGGGUGUGUAAGCGCAGCGAUGCGUUGAGCUAACCGGUACUAAUGAACCGUGAGGCUUAACCUUACAACGCCGAAG
rnacentral:rRNA from 1 species